rnacentral:rRNA from 1 species
GACAGAGGGUGCGAACGUUGCUCGGAAUUACUGGGCGUAAAGCGCGCGCAGGCGGCUAUCCAAGUCAGUGGUGAAAGCCCGGAGCUCAACUCCGGAACUGCCAUUGAAACUGUUUAGCUUGAGGAUGAGAGAGGUGAGUGGAAUUCCCAGUGUAGAGGUGAAAUUCGUAGAUAUUGGGAAGAACACCGGUGGCGAAGGCGGCUCACUGGCUCAUUACUGACGCUCAGGCGCGAUAGCGUGGGGAUCAAACAGG